CUCAUAACAAGAUUUUUAAUCUUAAUCUCAGUAAGCUAAGGCUUUAACUUUGGAAUAUGGUUAUUCAAGAUGCGCCACUUUAAGAUGAUUUUUAAUUAUGAUUCGCCGCUGAUCGUGCCGUUUUUAAGUGUAAUUAAGAAAGAUGCAAACGAAAUUGGCCAAGUUUGAAUGGAAUGGGUAAAGAAUGCGGUGAUAUCAAGUGGUUCACUCUUCAGCAACACCUGCAUCACGACUGGUCCACAGUCGCAAUGGCUUAUCCGGCGAGCAAGAAGAUUUGGCAACUUUUCAAAAUAUAGAUUUCGAUGUCUGCACAAAGGUGCGUUCUCAUAUUCUUGAUUCCUAUGUAUUUUAAGUUUAGUGACGUGGAGCAGAACAAUUGGUUCCCACAUUCCACCCGUACUCUUUGUAAAAGUUCCAAGAGGGGUUGUUUACUGAAUAAAAAGUGAGGUGACUAAUUACUUUGCUGUCCUUAACUUU